AUGAACGCUGGCGGCGUGCUUAACACAUGCCAGUCGAACGAAGCAUUUGCGACAGAUUUUUUCGGAAUGAAGUUGCUUAUGACUGAGUGGCGGACGGGUGAGUAACGCGUGGGUAACCUGCCUUGUACUGGGGGAUAGCAGCUGGAAACGGCUGGUAAUACCGCAUAAGCGCACAAUGUUGCAUGACAUGGUGUGAAAAACUCCGGUGGUAUAAGAUGGACCCGCGUCUGAUUAGCUAGUUGGUGAGAUAACAGCCCACCAAGGCGACGAUCAGUAGCCGACCUGAGAGGGUGACCGGCCACAUUGGGACUGGGACACGGCCCAGACUCCUACGGGAGGCAGCAGUGGGGAAUAUUGCACAAUGGAGGAAACUCUGAUGCAGCGACGCCGCGUGAGUGAAGAAGUAAUUCGUUAUGUAAAGCUCUAUCAGCAGGGAAGAUAGUGACGGUACCUGACUAAGAAGCUCCGGCUAACUACGUG
rnacentral:rRNA from 1 species